rnacentral:sRNA from 1 species
UGAGGCCGAGGUACUUCAACUGCACCCC